UACGUAGGGCGCAAGCGUUGUCCGGAAUUAUUGGGCGUAAAGAGCUCGUAGGCGGUUUGUCGCGUCUGCUGUGAAAUCCCGAGGCUCAACCUCGGGCUUGCAGUGGGUACGGGCAGACUAGAGUGCGGUAGGGGAGACUGGAAUUCCUGGUGUAGCGGUGAAAUGCGCAGAUAUCAGGAGGAACACCGGUGGCGAAGGCGGGUCUCUGGGCCGAAA
rnacentral:rRNA from 1 species